AUGCCCAGGUUGUACCUGGACCUGAUGAAGCCAGGCUGGAUUUCCAGAGCUCGUGUGUAAGCCUCCACAGCCUCCUCACUGCGGUCCCCGUUGGCCAAGGUUGCCCCAAGGCGGUUCCACAACGUGUAGUCCUGGAAUGGCAUAAAAGAUAAAGCAUUCAGUCAUUAAAUGAAGAUAACCACUGCAUUUACCUUUCAUCUGCUGUCUUAGACAUCCUCCUUGAGAACUGGCAUCAGCACUGAGACGUUCAACAGGAGAUUCCCUGUGCUGCCUUCCCAGGUCAUGGCUCAGCACAGCCACCCUGAGGAUCAGCAAGCAGGAACACCUAAAGCAUUUCCAGCAGUGGCAAUCUAAAGCAAGUUCCCUCCUUUCCUGCCAGGAGCAAAUGUCUGUGUGAUGUGUGACACCAGAAACAUCUCCUGUGCCUCGGCAGCAGUUGUUGAUGAAGAAUUUAUUUGAUGUAGAAAUAAAAAAUGCCUUCCAUGCUUGGUUUAGGAAAGAGCUAAUUUACUGAUUUUGUCCAUUUUAGCUUUGUAUGCUGAGACCAGAUUUUUGUUUGUGUGUGCAAUAAAAUCCCAAGAAACCACGGCAGAAACCCUUCAUCUUACCAUAGCAUAUCAUGAAAAAAACCCCUACAAAUCAGAUUAAUUACUUCAACAAGAAAUUAUCUUUCUAGCUAGAAGCCAGUAUCAGACUUAGGCAUAGUUCUGUUUCUCAUCAGCCACUAUUAAUCUAGAAUUGUUCAACUGUCAGCACUGGAAUUAGAGUGGUCUAUAGCUUGAGUUAGAAGAAUAUUAAAAUACAUGACUAAAAUUUAAAUCUAAACUCAAACAUCCCUAAAGUGUUCUAGAUGGUUUGGAGACUAAUGAGCCUGCAGUGCUGAAAAUGCUAAAAAUAACCUGUUUUGAGGAACUAGUUUCACAGCUUCAUCCUCUGCACCCUAAGAACUCAUUUCAGUGGCUGUUACAUAAUUUAGCCUGAAAUUCUGUCCUUGCUGGAAUGGAGCUGUCUUGGCUCUUUGUGGUGAUGGGAUUUUGAAGGGUUGCCCAUGGAACCCCUGAGAAGACAAUGAAGAUAAUGAUGCUCCAGACCAAUGCUUAUAUCUAAUUUUUUGUGGAGUUCUGCUAAAAAAUCUGUGCUGUACUUUGUGUCCAGACAGGAUCAAUUUGGACUAGUGGUAUAGGACAACACUCAAAAGAUGUUUUAGAUGUUAGAAAUGCAGAAGUCACUGAAAAAAACCCCAGAAGUGCAAUAGGACAACUAUCCAAAUACUUCUGUCUUUUCAAACCAAAUAGAUUUACCAGGAAACAAGAAUACUCCUGUGCUAAGCAUUCUGCCACUGGUUGUAAAAAUGUGAAAAUGGUGCAUGGUUGGUGCUUGUGCACAGCUCUGCUUUACAGCAGGUAAUUGUGCUGUUCAUCAGUGCUUCUGAGCUCUGCUUUCACAGGAGAGGCUUGGUUUGUGUCUGGGUGUAAAGAACUGAUGGCACACAAUUCCCUCUUUAACUUGUGGUUUGGAAUUAGCUACAUUUAUGGGGAAUUUACCCAUUUGCUUUAGCAAUAAAAAUCUAGCUUAAAAUCUCUGUAAUGUUUUUUUAUAGCGAAGUGUUUUGAAUUUCAUUUUUUAAAAGAGACAAGCUGCUAUUUUAAAUUAAUAGCUCCAUGAAUUGCAUCUUUUCUCUGUUUUAAAUAAUCCAAUUCCAACUCUCUCUUCUGCUUGUGCUGCAAGAUGAAAAAAGAAAUCUGUAGAACAACAGCUGAAAAUGAAAACAGUAAAUGA